CGCCUGAAGCUGAUAUCUCAGGGAUUUUCCAGUAACCUCCUUCUUCUGCUUGAGCCAGUUUUGAGUUGGAUUUAUUUCCCUUUAAACAUCAAAGAGUCUUGCCCAGUGCAGAGGGAAUUCUUAUAAGGGAUUGUGAUUUGCACUCAAGUGCAAAUGGCUGAUGGCAAAGACCUCCCUGAUACCAGGUUUUGGUAGAAGAGAAGAGGCACAUCCUGGAAGGACUGUAACUCAUGACAGCGGUUGCCCCUGGGGAGGGAGAGAAACAGGAC
rnacentral:lncRNA from 10 species